UACGUAGGGACCAAGCGUUGUCCGGAAUCAUUGGGCGUAAAGAGCGUGUAGGCGGCUUGUUAAGUCUUGCGUGAAAUCUCGGGGCUCAACCCCGAGCGGUCGUGAGAAACUGGCAGGCUAGAGUGCGGGAGAGGAGAGUGGAAUUCCUGGUGUAGCGGUGAAAUGCGCAGAUAUCAGGAAGAACACCCGUGGCGAAGGCGGCUCUCUGGAACGCAACUGACGCUGAGACGCGAAAGUGUGGGGAGCGAACAGG
rnacentral:rRNA from 1 species